UGCACCUCCUCAACUCAUUUGAAAUAGAUAC
rnacentral:piRNA from 1 species